CUCUGAUCGGAGACCUUUCUUACGAACCAAUGGUGUAUUUUGGCUCAACCGACUUCAACCAGUCAAUUUGCAUCCAAUCAAAUUUUGUCCUUUUACAUUUAGCGCCAAACAUUAGAAGCGCAAACACAGUGACACUUGCUCUGCACCGAGUCUGAGGGCGCCUAGCUUUUCUCCGCUCAUGGAUCUCUUACGUUAUUCAUCUCGAUUCUCAUCUGGUCAAUUCGUUAAUCUUCAUUGAUCAUCCGGGCUUCGUUGUCACUCCGCUCGUCUUUUUACAGAGUGAAGUAGAGUUUUUCCCUUGAUUCCUUUGGUGGCUGAUGGUAAAUGCUGUAACUGAUGGAGCAAGAUUGCAGACGAAUCAUUAAGCCGAGAUGUUGUCUUGGAAGCGGAAGCAUAUGCUUUUGGAACAAAGCCCGCUGCUUGAAAGGUAGGGAGGGGAAGUAGAUAACAGCCAGGAGGCUCGAACUCAAGACCUCCUAGUGAGCUGGGCUGACUAAAAUGGUUAGAUUGUGUAAGUACUUAAUGGUGGCUUUUGGUAAGGCUUCAGUUUUCAUUCUUCAUGCAAGGGUUCAAACUGUUAAUAAGGCUAGGGAUCUUGCUGUUGGAAUGAUGUGUACAUGAAGCAGGUACACAGAACGUCCCUGCAGAGAGGGGGGAAAAAGGUGAAAAAGGCCACAGGAAGCACGGUAUUAUUCAGAGAAGCUACUUUAAUAUUAACUUCAAUCAAUUGAAGGCAUGAGCGUGUGCAAGUUGUUGACUGUACUUCAGAGAGGCAGUACAUGGUGGGAAUGCACAGGGUGAGGCAUUCUAUGUUCCCCAAACCCUAGUUUAUGUUAAAAUGGUUUUGGUGAUUGAGACGACUGCAUUGAUGUUUGUAGCAUACUAUGGUUGAUUCCUACGCAUCAGGGGAGACAAUCGUCAUUGGGGUUAUACACAGGUUGAGGUAAACUGCAUUGCAAAUCCGAAAUUUUAUUGUUCUAGGUUGUGUUAAUUGUUGAAAGACCUAGACCAUGAAUUUAAUUGUGGGGAUUAUAUUUUAUGCUCUUACAUUGUAAACCUAGCAAGUUGGGGCUUGUCUAGGGCUUGAGAUUGUAGUCCUUGCCUUUGCGUCAACAACGGUUGAAAAAGUAGAGGGUGCUUCUGAGUCGUUGCGGCUAGAACCCACCAUUCAGGGUUGUAACCCUUGCAUUUGUGUAGGUAAGUGUUGAAGUAGGAUAGGGCGUUCCUAAGUCAUUGUAGUGGCUAAAAAUCACUAGUGAUUGAGUAGACAUUGAGCAGGCAUUACUCAGGGGAUGUCAGCACACUCCUGAAUUAUGUUAAAAUUGGUUGUCCCUUGUAUUUGCAUGUAUUUAGAUAUUUUGAAUUGCAUAGUGAUGACAGGAUGGGUGUACACUAUCUGGUAGACCUAACCACUUUGUUGUAGCAAGGUGGAAGGGCAUACAACUAUGUGGGUUUGGUAAAAUUGGGAUUGCCCCAGCCAGCCAAGAUUUGUGUUAGUGUGUGUGGCGUGGCAUCAACGUUGUUUGAGAUAUUGCCACCAGUAUUGGAAUAUCAAGGGUGUGUUGCAAGGAGUAUUGGAAUAAUUUCGAAGGAAUUUUUAGUGAUCCUAAUUCACUUCCUUAGUGAUCCUAAUUCACCCCCUCUCAAUGUCACUUGGGAAUAUCAAUAAUGGUUGAUCAGUUUGGAGUUUUCUCUACAGUGAGACUUGUCGAAUCACUAGAUACUGUCUCUUGAAUAGUUAUUUAGUUAAUAAUUUGUAUAGUAUGUAAGAAAGAUGUAAUAAGAAACCUAACGUGCUUGGUCCCCUUGUGUAAAUCAGAAUAUUUAUGCUAUAAAUAAAGUUUCUUCUUGUGGCU